rnacentral:rRNA from 1 species
GGAGUAUGGACCGUGUCUCAGUUCCAUUGUGGCCGUUCAUCCUCUCAGACCGGCUACCGAUCGUCGGCUUGGUGCACCUUUACUACACCAACUACCUAAUCGGACGCAGGCUCCUCGCAAAGCGAUAAAUCUUUAGUAAAACUCCCAUGCGAGAAUCUUACAACAUCCGGUAUUAGCGUCCCUUUCGGGACGUUGUCCCCGACUUUGCGGCAGAUUACCUGCGCUUUACUCACCCGUUCGCCACUAAACCCGAAGGUUCCGUUCGACUUGCAUGUGUUAAGCCUGUAGCUAGCGUUCAUC